CGAGAGCCUGACGGAGCAACGCCGCGUGGGGGAGGAAGGUCUGUGGAUUGUAAACCCCUUUUCUCUGGGAAGAAGGUCUGACGGUACCAGAGGAAUCAGCAUCGGCUAACUCCGUGCCAGCAGCCGCGGUAAUACGGAGGAGGCAAGCGUUAUCCGGAAUUAUUGGGCGUAAAGCGUCCGCAGGUGGCUUACCAAGUCUGUUGUUAAAGCCCAGGGCUCAACCCUGGAUCAGCAAUGGAAACUGGUAGGCUAGAGUGCGGUAGGGGCAGAGGGAAUUCCCAGUGUAGCGGUGAAAUGCGUAGAUAUCGGGAAGAACACCAGUGGCGAAGGCGCUCUGCUGGGCCAUAACUGACGCUCAUGGACGAAAGCCAGGGGAGCG
rnacentral:rRNA from 1 species